GUGCGCUAAUCUCUUAAAACCAUUCUCAGUUCGGAUUGCAGGCUGCAACUCGCCUGCAUGAAGUCGGAAUCGCUAGUAAUCGCGGAUCAGCACGCCGCGGUGAAUACGUUCCCGGGCCUUGUACACACCGCCCGUCACACCACGGAAGUUGGGAGUACCCAAAGUAGGUUGCCUAACCGCAAGGAGGGCGCUUCCUAAGGUAAGACCGAUGACUGGGGUGAAGUCGUAACAAGGUACC
rnacentral:rRNA from 1 species